rnacentral:rRNA from 1 species
GACGAACGCUGGCGGCGUGCCUAAUACAUGCAAGUUGAGCGCUGAAGGUGGUACUUGUACCAACUGGAUGAGCAGCGAACGGGUGAGUAACGCGUGGGGAAUCUGCCUUUGAGCGGGGGACAACAUUUGGAAACGAAUGCUAAUACCGCAUAAAAACUUUAAACACAAGUUUUAAGUUUGAAAGAUGCAAUUGCAUCACUCAAAGAUGAUCCCGCGUUGUAUUAGCUAGUUGGUGAGGUAAAGGCUCACCAAGGCGAUGAUACAUAGCCGACCUGAGAGGGUGAUCGGCCACAUUGGGACUGAGACACGGCCCAAACUACUACGGGAGGCAGCAGUAGGGAAUCUUCGGCAAUGGACGAAAGUCUGACCGAGCAACGCCGCGUGAGUGAAGAAGGUUUUCGGAUCGUAAAACUCUGUUGGUAGAGAAGAACGUUGGUGAGAGUGGAAAGCUCAUCAAGUGACGGUAACUACCCAGAAAGGGACGGCUAACUACGUG